CACUGUACUUGGGGAGAUUGGGGUGUCGGGUCUGAAUAUCAGAGACACCAAGGCAUUUUGGAGGUCAGCAAAGGGAGCCCAGGAGAGGGGCCCCUAAGUGGGGGCUGGAGACCAAUCUGUCCUCCCCAAGGACAGUGCAGUGUGGGGACCAGAGGGGCAGUGUGACUGCCCUGUCCUCGGCUCCGUGGGCUCCGCUGUGCCCGCUGAGAGGCAGGUGGCCAUCUACAUCGCUUGGACUUUGAGUUCCAGUUAGGGGCUGUCGGUUCACAGUCAGGGGGCCAGGUAGCCGGUGAUCUGGCCUCUGCGGGGCCAGGUUUGAGGAGCAGAUGACGGAGGGGCCAGGACCCUCCCGAUCACAGUGACUUGGGUCGGCUUCCAAGUGGCCCCUGGAGACAGUGCAGGUCUCCGGGCAGCCUCAGGCAGUGCCGGGCCAGACCCACUGUUUUUGUGGGGUGAGGACGGGGAUUGCGCUGUUGUGAUUACUACGGUAUGGACUACUGGGGCAAGGGGACCCAAGUCACCGUCUCCUCAGGGACCCAGUCUUCCCCAAACCUCUUCCCGCUCAUCUCCUGUGAGGACCCCCUGUCCGAUGAGUCCCCCGUGGCCAUGGGCUGCCUGGCCAAGGACUUCCUGCCCACCCCCGUCACCUUCUCCUGGAUCUACCAGAACAACAGUGCCGUCAACAGCCAAGCCUUCUACGACUUCCCAUCGGUCUUCAGGGAGGGCAAGUAUGCGGCCAGCUCCCAGCUGCUCCUGUCCUCUGCUGACAUCCUCCAGGGCACAGACGAGUUUGUGACAUGCAAAGUCAAACACUUCGACUCUAAUGAAAACGUAAAAGUGCCCCUACCAGGAUCACAAGGAACCUCAAAUCAUCCCCCCAAUGUGAGCGUCUUCAUCCCGACCCGUGGCUCCUUCAACAACGGCCCGCGCACGUCCAAGCUCAUCUGCCAGGCCACGAACUUCAGCCCCAAGAAGAUCUCUGUGUCCUGGCUGCAGGAGGGGAAGCUGCUGACCUCCGGCUUCACCACAGACAAGGUGGAAGUGGACAACAAACAGUCCCGACCCGUGACCUACAAGGUCACCAGCAUGCUGACCAUCACCGAGAGUGACUGGCUCAACCAGAACGUGUUCACCUGCCAAGUAGAGCACAAUCAGGUGACCUUGCAGAAGAACAUGUCGUCCAUCUGUGGCUCCAGUACAUCCACCAUCAAAAUCUUCGCCAUCCCACCCUCCUUCGCCAGCAUCUUUCUCACCAAGAUUGCCAAGCUGUCCUGCCUGGUCACAGACCUGGCCACCUAUGACAGCCUGACCAUCACCUGGAGCCGCCAGAAUGGCGAGGAACUGAAAACCCACACCAACAUCUCCGAGAGCCACCCCAAUUCCACCUUCAGUGCCACAGGAUGGACCACAGUGUGCGUGGAGGACUGGGAGACAGGAGAUGAGUUCACGUGCACAGUGACCCACACGGACCUGCCCUCGCCGUUGAAGCACACCGUCUUCAAGCCCAAGGGAGGCCACAAGCAAAUGCCCUCUGUGUACGUGCUGCCACCAAGCAGGGAACAGCUGAGCCUGCGGGAGUCAGCCUCGGUCACCUGCCUGGUGAAGAGCUUCUCGCCUGCAGAUGUGUCUGUGCAGUGGAUGCAGAGAGGGCAGCCGGUGGCCCCUGAAACGUAUGUGACCAGUGCCCCGAUGCCCGAGCCCCAGGCCCCUGGCCUCUACUUCGUCCACAGCAUCCUGACCGUGAGUGAAGAGGACUGGUCUGCCGGCGAGACCUACACCUGUGUCGUGGCCCAUGAGGCCCUGCCCCACUCGGUGACCGAGAGGACCGUGGACAAGUCCACCGAGGGGGAGGUGAGCGCCGAUGAGGAAGGCUUUGAGAACCUGAACACCAUGGCCUCCACCUUCAUCGUCCUGUUCCUCCUCAGUCUCUUCUACAGCACGACGGUCACCCUGUUCAAGGUGAAGUGACCGGAGGACAGAGCGUAGACACCGAGAAGAUGGAGCCAAGAGGGGCGCCUGCCGCCUUGAGCCCAGGGCUGGCCGCACGCUGGGUCCACUUGUACUUAGCUCUCCCCUGUGCCGCCCUCCAGCUCGCUGCUUCGGAAACCGCCUCUCUGGACGCGGCCGUGAGGGAGCGUGGAGCCCACAGCCGCGGCUCUGCCCGGGCACCGCUUUGCAAUGUACGCACUUGCCUGUGACCAUGUCGUCUUGGAAUAAAU